rnacentral:lncRNA from 1 species
UCCUAAAUGGCAUUUCAAGCUAGGAUUAACUCAUUUUAACCUCCAUUUACCACAGAAUCCAGAUUUAACCUUCCCCCUCUCAAAGCCUCACUCUUUUUCCACUCAUAACACCACAUUCUCACUUCCUAACCCUAGGUUAACUCUACCCUUCAUCUCUAACAGUUUUCCAUAAGCAAUUUCAGUACAUAAACAUCACAAGCAUCAUCAUAAAAACCCUAAAACAGAAUGGGUAUGUUUAACUCAUCCAAACAUGGCAAUUUCAACAUGCUUUCAACAAAUUCCUUCACAAAUAAUCAUCAUGAAGCAGAAAACUAGCAAAACUACCCAUCAUAUCUCCCAAAACCCCAUACCCACGAAAAUCAAGAGAGAAA